UCGUUCAUAUUUUGUAGGAUUGUUAGUCACCAUAUGAAGAUAAGUGUUUUAUGGAGUAAUAAGAUCGUCUGCCUUUGUCACAUGCCUCCUUUGUCCUGGUUAGAGAUUUGAAAUGAGAGUUUUGAAUGAUCCCAAGGUGAUUGUAGUCACUCUUUACAGGAAUGAUUUCAUCGCCCACUAACCAUUGAUUUGAGACGACAUUGUGUGAUUUACCGAAUACUAUAAUACAUGAUUUUUUAGCGUUGAAAGAGAAUCUCCAUCUACAAGAAUAAUUGUAUGCUACAUCCAACAUAUUCUGUAGUGAGUGCGGAGUUGACGAUAAACAGGCAAUAUCAUCUGCGAGAGUAGGAGUCGAUGACUAUAUUAUGAAUUCCGAAGUUUUUAUUGAUGUGACCAAGUUCGUUAACUGGUUACAGUACUUGAUCCUUGUAUCUGUACAUAUUCUGUGCCACGCAGGCCAUUUUGAUGUGUUUGGUAAUAAUGUGUGUGGGUUUUCCAAAACUUCAAUCUUAACUAUUAUAGGUUAAAAGACAAAUGACACACAGGUCACACUGCUUCCUAGAAUGAUCAUUCUCUUUCUGAAAAAAAAAGAGAGAAGACUUUUGACACUACAGGAACAUGCAUAGAAUGCCCCUUAUUAUACCCCCGCAACAAGUUGUGGGGGGGGGGGGGGUAUACUGGAAUCGGGUUGUCCGUCUGUCUGUCCGUCCGUCCGUCUGUAGACGCAAUGGUUUCCGGGCUCUAAAGCAUUAUCCUUUCCACCUACCGUCACCAUAUCAUAUAUAUGGACUACCCAUGGGAUGAAGAUGUUCCCUAUCGAUUUUGGGGUCAAAAGGUCAAAGGUCAAGCGCACUGGACAUCGAAGUAGCAAUAUGGUUUCCGGGCUCUAAAGCGUUAUCCUUUCCACCUACAGUCACCAUAUCAUACAUAUGGACUAUCCAUGGGAUGAAGAUGUUCCCUAUCGAUUUUUGGGUCAAAAGGUCAAAGGUCAAGCACACUGGACAUCGAAGUAGCAAUAUGGUUUCCGGGCUCUAAAGCGUUAUCCUUUCCACCUACAGUCACCAUAUCAUACAUAUGGACUACCCAUGGGAUGAAGAUGUUCCCUAUCGAUUUUGGGGUCAAAAGGUCAAAGGUCAUGCGCACUGGACAUCGAAGUAGCAAUAUGUUUCGGUUUGUCAUGCCAUUUGUUUUUUACACUCAGAAAAGAGGUAGUUUAUACCUAUUACCAACACCCUUUGGGAGAUUGGGGUAAGCGGGGGGUAUUCUUAGUGAGCAUUGCUCACAGUACCUCUUGUUGUUAAUAAAUCAAAGUCAAUAUUUUCAAUAGUUUUAAUUUACCGAUUAUGAAGACUUAGAUGUUAAUUUUGACCUAUUGGCUGAUACCAGUACAAUUCUACACAAAGAUGUGUUCAACAACAAGGAGCCCCCAUGGUUUUGAAAAAAAGUUUAAUAAGGGGAUCCUUGGAAACUUAUUAUACCCCCCGCAGGGGGGUAUACUGGAAUCACUUUGUCCGUCUGUCCGUCCGUCCGUAGACGCAAUUUGUCCGAAGUUUAUUUCUAAUACCGCUGGACAUAUUUCAUUCAAACUUUAUGCACAUCUUCUAUAUAUUAUGUAGUUGUGCAUCUCCUAUUUUCAUUUGAAAUAUUUUAACAGUUAUAGAAGUUACGCACAUUUUCUUUUCAUUUUGGGGAUUGCGCACUUUGUCCAGAGUUUAAUUCUAAUACCGGUGAACAGAUAUGAUUCAAACUUUAUUCUCAUCUUAUAUAUAUAAUGUAGUUGUGCAUCUUCUAUUUUCAUUGAAAUAUUUUAACAGUAUGGAAGUUACGGACAUUUUCUGGUUUGGUUGUACUUGUAGUAAUAGACACAAUUUGUCCAGAGUUUAUUUCUAAUACCGUUUUACGCUCAUAAGUCAAUCAGGAAUUGAAGAAGUGGAAAGACGUUCAACAAUGAAGUUCAACUACAUUUCUUCUCAUGAAAAGGUACCCUAGAAUUCUUAAAUUCAAAGCUAUAUUUUUCUCAAAUAUUUUGCAUAUGGGCUUGGUGCCAAGCAAAUAUGUGUGUGCACUAUUUACUUUGCUUCUGUUGUAACUCAUUAAACUCACAUAUUACACCUGUUUGCUUUAUCAUGUUCACAUUUUACUCAUUCUCAUGUUCAUAUUCUACUCAUUAUGCUUUAAGCUAGCUAGCCUAAGCUCUUUCAUCAACAAAUCUAUGUGAUUUGCACCCACAUUCAUUUCCUUUCUUGAUGUAAGAUGUGAAAUAUGCAUGAUCUGUCUGCAUUUUGUACUAGAUGGCUACUCGUACUCAAUGUAGAUCCUCCUCGUGGUGGCACUGGUAACAGACAUUGCAGUUGUAGCCAUCUGUAUAAUUUUUUUAAAAUGAGCUUCAGCUACAGGAUUAAUUUUUUGGGUUCAUUUUUGAUUAUAUAUUCACUACAAUGAAUAAGAUCAUGCUUUUUAACAACUUCAUUUUAUAUUAGGUAUUCACUGCAAUGGGACAGUCCGGCUGAAAGAUCAUGCGUCUUAUCAAUUUGAAUUUCCAUUUGAUAUCAUAUUUCUGUACAAGUGGUUAU